rnacentral:misc_RNA from 1 species
UCUCGAAUUGCCGAAUUUGCUUCGAGAACCCUUUGGCGAAGAACUGCACCCAGAAAGGGGAUUUUCAUAAUUUCAUAUCUCGGAUUUCUUUUAGAGGUGCGCCGUUGAGGUCGAACGAGGUGUAAGGAAUUUUCGCUUGCAGAUUGCGGAGAUGAGGUAGGAGUUGUAGCUGCUGAUACUGGAAGUGGUGGAUGGGAGUUUUUUAGUGUGGAAAUUAAGUCAAAAUGCGGAAAUCUUUCAAGGAUUCCCUUAAGGCACUCGAGGCUGAUAUUCAGUUCGCCAAUACCUUGGCUUCUGAUUAUCCCAAGGAAUACGAUGGGGCAUGCCUACAAAUGAGAUUAUCCUAUAGCCCGGCUGCACAGUUCUUUCUCUUCUUUGUGCAAUGGACUGAUUGUCAUCUUGCUGGUGCAUUGGGUCUGCUCAGAAUUCUGAUAUAUAAGG